UUCCCAGAAUUUAUUUUUAAAUGGUAUAGGACAUCAUGAAGUGAGGUGAUAAGAGUCCAAAUGUGGUAGCUUCCUUUUUCAUUGUUUAUAUAAAUAAAUUUAAAUCCUUAUAUUGCUUCAGGGUCAAGAUUGACUGUUGCUUCCUGCUUGAAAUCUUUGUUGAUUACCCAACUCUCCUCUUCUCAUUACCUUAUACUUACUCAUCUGUGUAUAUUUUAUAUCUUCUCAGAGGAUUACAAGCUCCAUAAGAUUGUAGACUAUUCUGUAUAUUGUUGUACACUUUAUCCAGUGUAGCAUUAUCAUAGUGGGUACAUACUUGUUAAAUAUUUCAUGACAGUUUUUUUGUCUUCCUUCAAGUUUUACAUAUAAAUGCCCACAGAAUCUUCCUUCACUUGGGCUUAUGAAGAGAUGACCGCAGUUUACUGAAUAUUUGAGUGGCAAGAAUGUAACUAAGAAAUGUCUUUAUAGACAUGGAAAUCAAGGAAUGCUUCAUGUUUGAAUCGACCAAUCAGAACUAGAAAUAAAUCCAUUCUCCUUUUGCAUAAGGAACUUAAUAUGAAAGCAGAAACACAUUCAGAAACAGAAAGUGAUUUUGAAUACCUGGCAAAGAAGAGGAAGUAAGGAACAAAUCAAGAGCUGAGAGAAAAAUAAUUGCCAAUUAGGGACAACUAGAAAAAGGGAAAAGGGAAAGUAAAAGUAGGUGAUCAAGGAUAGAAUGCAUUAUGUGUGAACAAGUAGCUGGACAAUUUGACUGCCAGGAAGACUGUGAAAAUGUAUGACUUGGAAGAAGAAUGAAAGGUAAAUGGAAACCAGAUUCUGUAGCUCCUAAAAUUACAGACUGAAGAUUUUCUGCUUUAUUCUACAGAUAACAGGGAAUCUGAAAAUUUUUGAGUAGUAGAAUGAUAUAAUCAAAUCCACUUGAAGCUAGGUGAAAACGAAUUGGAAAACACAGAGACUGGAAGCAGAGACAUCAAUGGGGGAAAAAAAUUAUUAUUGCAAAAAUCCUUUCCUAUUGAAGAAUAUAAUUGUAGACUUGAAAAUUUCAUUAGUCGUUAAAUUUUUGUAUGAUUGUGUAGAGGGGAUAAUUGUAUCUUCAACCAAUUAUAAGUUCUUUUCCAAUACACCUGGAAAAUUUUAAAAUUUAUUUACUAAUGCCAUAUAUUAGGUGCCUAUACAGCACUAUAUUAUACAGUAAAUGUACAAAAUUCCUUCAUAUAACCAUGUAUAAAAUGAUUUUUAAAAAAUAUGGUAUUUAAUGUAAAACUUAAUUUAUCAAUUGUUAAUCUAAUAGAAAUAUAUCAUUGCAUUUGUAAGAAUUGAAAAUGUAAAACAAUUAUCUUCUUCAAUACUCGCCUCAUCCUCCCACUUCUAAUACAGGAAAGAAGACCCUAUUUUCCUCUCCCUCUCCCACCUUUCCUUCUUUCUUUUCUUCUUUUUUCUCUUCCUCCCCUUCCU